rnacentral:rRNA from 1 species
UACGAAGGGGGCUAGCGUUGUUCGGAUUUACUGGGCGUAAAGCGCACGUAGGCGGAUCGUUAAGUCGGGGGUGAAAUCCUGGAGCUCAACUCCAGAACUGCCUUCGAUACUGGCAGGCUUGAGACCGGAAGAGGACAGCGGAACUGCGAGUGUAGAGGUGAAAUUCGUAGAUAUUCGCAAGAACACCAGUGGCGAAGGCGGCUGUCUGGUCCGGUUCUGACGCUGAGGCGCGAAAAGCGUGGGGAGCAAACAGG